AGACCUGCAAGCCGUGAAGCAUCUGUUGUGUUCUUUUGUUCCAUCUUCGUUCUUCUUGGUCCUGGUCUCCUCCCUGCGCUUCCUCCUCCUGAAAUGGUCCAGUUCGAUAAGUUGGCUGAUGGACGGUUCUUCUGGAGGCAGCUCUGAGGCCUCAUCCUGGGACACUCCUCUGGAACCUUGCUGCUGAUCCAAUGCACCCAGCUACAAAAACAUCAAGAAACAUCUGAUGAGUUCUCCAGGUCUUUAAGGAACUCGUCCAGACUGUCGGCCUCUCCGCCUUUCCUCCUCUUCCUCAGCUCGUCUGGGACCAGAGGGGUCAGGCAGCGGGUGAACAUCUACAAGAGAAUACAGGAUGAUUUUAGAGUUAAGGAACAUUAAAUCAUUACCGGUAUAUUCUUAGCGAAAAUAUCGACACAAAGCAGCAAAGCCCAUUUAUCUCUUGCUAUUGCAGUUACCUUGCUUUUUCCAUUCUAAUUCUAAUGUCAUGUUAUUAAUUUAUAUCUAAAUUUUUUACAGUUUCACAUGUCCUUCCAGUCACGAACAAGUAAAUGUCUGCAUAGAAAUCACUUGACUGUUGACUUAGAAAUAGAAAUCACUUGACUGAAAUUGACUCCACUGUUUUUUACAAUAGACCUUAAUGAAAUUUAGUAUAGGUCAACCACUCAUGCCUUUGUUUUUUAUUACCCAGGUACCCAGGUGCAUUUCCAGAUACCAGAAAUGAAAAGCAAUUCAUGGGUUUCAGAAUGACAAAUUGGGAACACAAUAUUCUAUCUUCUCAAUGGUGAAAUAUACUGAAAAUGUCACCUUUACCAUAGACUGUAUAAAAAAGUGGACUAAGGAAAAAAUAGUGUCUGCUCCAGUCAAAUGAAGCUCACUGAGGUUCACAGUUAUAGGAGCAAAUUUGGAUCUGAAUGCCAAAUUAGGAAUAGGUAUUUAUGUACAGACAAAAUAGUGAAAUAAAAACACCAGGAUCAUUUAGAGCAAAUUAAUACGAACAUUGUAAAAAAAUAAAUAAAUAAAGACUUGUAAGACCAAAAUGACGAGCCUCACAUCAGCAGUUACAGAGAAAGGGCUGACAAUUUUUCAGUGUAAAGUUAAUUGGAAGCCUAGUCGAUGCAGCUGGAAGCGUGAAACAUGAAACCCAAACAUUUCUCUGGUCUUGUUUGUACCUUGAGCAGUCUGUUAUUCCAGAGUGGCUGUGCAGGCAAAGAGAAGAGCUUCUCCACUCCUCCGGUCUCCUUCCACAUCAUCAGCUUCUUUGUGGGUGGGGCCAGGUCCAGCGUCGUGACAAUGUCGGAGUAAUCGGACAGCUGCGCCCGGAUGGUCUUACUGUCCAGCUCCUUCACACUGUCCACAAUCAGCUUCCUCUUUCUCUUGGCUUUGGUCUCCUUCACUGGAACAAU